rnacentral:rRNA from 1 species
GACGAACGCUGGCGGCGUGCCUAAUACAUGCAAGUCGAACGCAGUGGGGACGGGUGAGUAACUCGUGGGUAACCUCCCAUCAGAGGGGAUAACACUUGGAAACAGGUCCUAAACAGAUACUGAUGGAUUGACCCGCGGUGCAUUAGCUAGUUGGCGAGGUAACGGCGCACCAAGGCCACGAUGCAUAGCUGACCUGAUAGUGUGGUCGGCAACACUGGGACUGAGACACGGCCGAGACUCCUACGUGAGGCAGCAGUAGGGAAUUUUCGGCAAUGGGCGAAAGUCUGACCGAGCAAGGCCGCGUGAGUGAAGAAGGUUUGCGGAGCGUAAAACUCUGUUGUUAGUGAAGCGGUAUCUAACCAGAAAGCCACGGCUAACUGCGUGCCAGCAGCCGCGGUAAUAC